rnacentral:lncRNA from 1 species
UAAAUCAAUAGAGGUUGAAAUGCUAAGGAAGAGCAGGGUUGAUCUGCAGCUGAACUUAAAGGCAGAUCAGUCUGGAAGAUUUCCAAAGAAGAACCUCAAUCCAAAGGAGUUCCCUUGAAUGUUCCUGCCCAGUAAAGAUUAUAAGAAGGGGCGCAUGCAUCUGAGAGACAACAGAUCCAAGAGGUUAUUCUCUUGCUUUCCUUUCAGGUAAAAUACUAACAAACAAACAAAGAAAACAAAAUCAACAAAAAGAAAAAAAGUCUUUACAUACAGGCAUCCAUGGUACUAUGGAAAAAUUAUAAUUAAAACUCCGUGUGUAGAAAGGACAAAUAGUUGAACUCGAUGCUGUGAAUGAGAGAGGGAAGUUACCAUUUUGGAACACGGAAAGGGUACUGGAAAUUUAGGGAUUUACUGCCAGCCCUAGGAAGACUUGGGAGGGAUUAGGGUCCUUGAUUUGAGACUUCCCCUACAUUUGGAAAACUCCGGGCAAAAGGGUCCCCCUUGGGGGGAACGGAGGGACUGCGGCCCUGCACACCCCACCUCCUCCACGGCAAGAACCCCACACAUGAGUUGGAGUCUCCCGUGACACUCCCGCCGUCACCCCAAUCUGGGGAGGCGCGGAGCUGCCCAGAGAAGGCUCCCGGCCAAGCUAAGGGGCCGCACAGGGACAGGACAGGUCGCUGAGGUCCGAGAUGUCGGUCCAGCCCCAUUCUCGGGCCAUAGGGGACCGAGGGCCGAGAGGGGCCAGCGGCGGAGCUGGCGGCAAACUCGGAGCUUGCGCCCGGAGGCCCUCCAUUUCCUGCGGGUUCCGACAGCGCCAGCUGGACUCCCGACUCCCGGCCCCGACACUCACCAUUUCCGGCUUCCGGGGCGUCCUGCCCGGAGUCCUCCCACGGCUCCCGGAGCCUCAGGUCACCAGGUUACAGAGGGCGGAAGCUGCUGGCAGAGGGACCUAAGGUGGCGACCGGCCGGAAAGACCCUUCACAAGAGCCGACAGAAGCCCAGGACCAAAGCGCAGGCGACGUCGCGUAGCGACUCCCCGCCCCUCCCAGAGACGCAUCUGAUUGGACAAUAACUGAGGCCACGCCCCUUUGCCUAAGUGACGUGGAAGGCGAACCUCCCGUGACCCAGCCAGCUUGCCGGCCUUCCUCGGAGGCCAGUCCCUCCCCACCCCCGAGGGGCGAGGAAGGAACCCUGAGCUUCAACGCGUUAAGCAGGCGCUCCACCACUGAGCCACACCCCAGCCCUAACAUAUUGGCAUUUUAAGAAUUUGUUCCUAUCCCAGAAAGAAGACUGGCACCGCGUGGGCAAGUAGUUCCAGGCUGUUUUCACUUGGAGCGACCCACUUGUGCAAAGCAAGAGGAGAGCAAGACCAAAACUGAAAGGAGAGCCAGCCAGCUUUUCUCCACCGGGUCAGGGGCUUGGCAUUAAGGCACGAAGGCCAUUCAUGGAACUGUGAUGCUCUUUUAGGAUCACUUAGAAUCACAGACACUUAAAAGUGACGUCAGCGUAUAUAAUAGAGUCAGCCUCCAGUUUGAUCUUGACGGUUGCCGGCGUUGAGGCCUAAACCAUCCCUUCCUCACCCUGCACAUCUGGCACUUUGAUUCUGGCAGGAAGUGUAAACUUUGCUGGCCAAGUCUGAGAUCAGAAACUCUUCUCAACCAACUGCCACCUAUAAGGUAUGUUCUUUAAAAUUGUCAGGUGUGUUUACUCCAGAAGGGUAUUUCAGAUCAUUCUUUCCAUGUGCCCCUAUAAAACUUUGUAAAAGGUUAGGACACUUCUAAGGUAAUUGGAAUUUCUAUUCUCUUUGAUAGAUACUAGGAAAGCAAUAACAGGUUAUAGAAAUACAGAAUGAGUCUGAAAAAAAUAAUAGCACAUAGGAUCAAAUCUAAAACACCAGGCAUGGUGACUCAGGCCUGUAAUCCCAGUGGUUCAGGAGACUGAGGCAGGAGGAUCAGAAAUUUGGGACCAGCUUUGGCAACUUGCCAACACCCUGUCUCAAAAUAUAACAAGGGUUAGAGACGCAGCUGAGUGGUAAAGUACCCCUGGGUUCAAUCCCCAGUUCUGCCCCACCGCACACAAAAGUAGAAUGUCAGCUUCAAGGGGACAAGGAUGGAACCAAGGGGAAACACGGAUAAAUCCUCAAGCUUAAUUUGCUUUUAACUAAUGCUUUCAUCACCAAUUUUAUGGGUCACAUUAACUAACAUCUCAGUCAUAUUGGUCAUGAAGGUAGUUGUCUGUAUUGUUUUUCAGGCUACUUUUGUCACUUUCAAACCUGUUGAAACCAAUGACCUUUCACUUGGGCCUGCCAAGCUGUCUGAUGGGUGACUUUUUGAGGUCCAAGGCCCAAAAUUUGAACCUCAGAGCAUACUGUUGCCAACAUUUUCAGAAGUCAGUCUGGCUUCCAGCUUGGAAUAUUUUCAACCCAAAUGCCGGGUUCAAUCUAAAAGCCAUAAAAUUUGGUUAAGCAUAUGUGACUGUUACCAGAUUUUUGAGGCAAAGGCCCCAGUGCUAGGGGUCCUGGUGGACUGUUGGUUCUGACACACAUCCCAAGAUUCCAGUCCAAGAGACAUGCAGUUGUGAAGGCAGGAAAGGAACUUUAAUCAGUGUAGCUAUACCAGGAAGACAAGGGGACUUACAUCCUCAACCCAGUCUUCAGGGGUACUGGCAUGAACUCCCAGCUUAUAGAGUUUAAGGAGGCCAGAAGUGUGCAUGAUCAAGUGUAGUCUUGUCAAACUACGAUCUGGUUUAUCAUUAUUUCAAGAUUGGUCAGGGGGCCUUGUCUGGGAUAAGAAAUUGCUGUUGCUGGGGAGUAGUUCAAGUCUUCUCAUAGGAGAUUUAUUCAUCAGACCUACCUAGAAUCCAGUGUGACCACAGGAGAAAAUGGCACUGAGCAAAGGAAACAGAUCAGAACGGAGGCAGAGAUGCCACAUUUUUAACUGUUUUUUAGUUACCCAUCAGGCAUCUGUAGGUGUGUACAGAGCCAAGUGAAGUACUUUUAGUAAAAGCAGCCUCUCAGUCCUUAUUCCAGUACUGCUGAUUACUUCAGUUUUCCCUGCCUCUGAUCAUCUUUCCCUCAUAUCUCAGACCACCAUGUUUGGGUGGUUUUUUGUUUGUUUGUUUUGGUACCAGGGAUUGAACUCAGGGGCACAUAAAUACUGAGCCACAACCCCAGCCCCUUUUAUUUUUUAUCUUGAAAGAUCUCGGUAUGUUACCUAGGGCCUCAAGUUGCUGAGGCUGGCUUUGAACUUGUUAUCCUCCUGCCACAACCUCCUGGCUGAGAUUACAGACGUGCACCACCAUGCCCUGCCACCCUGCUUCUUUAUCCCAUAAAUACCACUAAGCCUUAUUUUUGGGGAGGUGGAUUUGAGACUUAGGUCCAGGGACCUCACACACCAUGCUCCCUUGGAGAUGCAGGGCUGCCGGCAGAGCUGCCCAGAAAGGGGCUCAGUGCCAUGCCAGUCUCCAAGUAGGGAUGGAACAGGAUACCAGGGUCUGAGGAGGGUCCCACAUGGCCUUUUCCAAUCAGCCCUCACUCCCUAGCUCAGGAUGCUGGCUCCUUGUUCACCAUUCCUUUCUUUUGGGGUCUCCUAGCAUCUUCCCACAGGAUCCUGUGAUCCAUACAAGUCACAGCAUAUGAAUACUGGAUCACAGUGUACUCAAAGAAUUCCAGACUUAAGUGUUGAAUGGAGAGAUCCUUGGCCUCAGAGUAGGAGAGACCUGUCCAGGCCAGCCAGACUGGAACAGGAGGGCUUGGAGUUUGGCAGGGGUCGGAAAUUCUCAUUUUUUAAUUAUUUAUUUUGAGAUAGGGUCUCCCUAUAUUGCCCAGGCUGGCCUUGAACUACUGGGCUCAAGCAAUCCUUCUGCUUCAGCCCCCUGAAGAGGCCACAGGCACAAGCCACUGUAAUAAAAUUAUUAAAUGUGUGGAAAAAUUAUUAAAUGUGCAGAUUAUGUCAGUAAUAUUCUAUAACAAUAAAGAGAAUAACAACAAAUAUUUGAACUCAGACAAACAGACUGCUUCAGCCAGUUCACAAGGAAACUGGCAUUUGGGUUGAACAUAUUCCAAGCUGGAAGCCAGACUGUUGAAAUGAAGCCCCAGUUGGCUCAUUCCUUGGCCAUGAGGCAGGGACACUUACGGAUUGAACUCUGGGAGUUCACCUUGCCCUCUGUCUCCUCCAAACUGUGUAGAAAGGCUCCUUUCUUCAAGAUAUUCAUUUUCACCAGCAAGAAACUAACCAGGAAUCAAUUUCAGGUUCUGAUCUAUGUAAACCAUCAAAUUAUGAACCUUUCUCUAGGAGAUACCCAAAAUGAGUCUUUCUCUAAGUCUGACCUUCACAGGUUUUUUUCACUUACAUGGAUGACAGUCUGACACCAGCAACUCUAUAGUGCCAAAACCAAACUGUCCAGAAAACAGCCCCAUGACAACAAGAGUCACAGUCUCAGAAAGGACAGACACUCCCAACUCUGCUGUGCGUCUCCCACUUUUCAGUGCUCUGCAGCUUAGGUCAGCUGGUCUGUAGCUGUUCUUCUGUAGCACAAGGUCACCUAUAGAGGACAGCACCUGCCCAGGAGGCACCAAGGAGAACUCCAUUGUCCCUCCUUUGCAGGCUCAAGUUUGGCCUCAGCUCUUAGCUACCUGUCUCAGUCCUGUGCCUGCCACUGCAGGUCAUUCACCUGCUUCACACCAACACCAAUAAGUUCAAUGACACAGAGACCUUCAGUCACAUUGUUUGAAUAAGAAAACAGCAGAGACCCUGCUUUCCUUCUAUGCUUUUGUGUACAGUAAAGGAGGAAAACUAAAAUACUGGCAAAUAAUUAUUCCUUUGAGAAAAACAAAGAUGUUAGCAAACUAUUAUUUUCAUAUUAACAAAUUCUUAUGGAGAGCAACUAAUUAGGUGUGAACCUUCCUUUUUCCUCUGCUUCAGUGACUCUCUAUGAUCCUUGGUGAGGCAUCAUUCAUCCUUUCCAGGUUUAGGAAAGGCCAGAAAGGCCAGAUUGAACAUUUUUUUUUUUUUUAAUGGUGUUGGGGAUUGAACCUAGGGUGUCCUCACACAUGCUAAGCAAGCACUCUCUCACUGAACUACAUACACCCCCAGCCUCAAGUCUGUUUAAAAAAUAUGAAUAAUGAAAAAUAAUAUGAUUUUAUAAUAUACAUUUGACAUAAAUAAUGUAAAUUUAAGUUGUUAAAAUACUAAAAUGAUAGAAUAUCAAAACAGAAUAUAAAAGUAGUUAAUGAUAAAACAAAAAAUAAAAGUAAAUAUCCAGAGUAUCUCCUCUAAACACAAUGAGAUGAACUUACGAAUAAAUAACUGAAGGAAAACUUGAAAAUUCACAAAAUGAGGAUAAACAACACUUAGUUUAAGAAUAAAUUAAUCAAGGGGCUGGGGCUAUGUUUUAGCAGUACAGCACUUGUCUUGCAUAUGGAGGCCCUGGAUUCAAUCCUCAGCACCACAUAAAUAAAAUAAAGGUAUUGUGUCCACCUACAACUAAAAAAAAAAAAAAAAAAAUUAAAGACCAAAUAACAGGUGAGAGUUGUGGAGUUGUGGGUGUACCUCUGUGGUAGAGUACUGUUCUAACAUGCGCAAAGCCCCUAGGUUCCACUCUCAGCACUAUAAUGAAAAAAAAAAAGAUAAACUUUGUAACUGUAUAAGCAUGAGAAGUAAAUUUUACAUAAUAAAAGGUGCCUGAUGUAUGUGCAAUAUAAAUGCUCAGUGACUCACAGCAUGAAAUAAACACCCUGGAAAAAUUAUAUAUUUUAUUUCAUCCAUGAAAUCAAUGGAAAAUUUUAAUGUAGCUUCUCAGUAAAUGAAUAAGAUAAUAACAUUUUUUAGUGUACAAGCUAAAUAAACUAUUUUUAAGAAACAUAAAUAUGAAUCUUGUGUCUGAGAAAAAAAAUAUUUUGUUUUUAAUCACAUAUAAUGAAACCUAGUUGAACUGGAACUGAGGUAUUACAUUCAGCUGCAUCAGAGGAAACACCCAUGAUUUUCCACACAGGAAGAAGGUGCUUAUUCUCCCAUGAAAGGACUGGGAGAGCAGUUACUGCACAAUCAGUGCAGCAGAGGAACAAACUCUGUUAUAGUCAGCUUUGCACUGCUGUGACCAACAUACCCAACAAGAAUAACUCAGGAAGCUGUGUGGAAUGUAUAAAUACUGCUCCUGUCCUGCAAUAAAGGGCUCCUACUCCAGCUGUAUCAAUCUACACAAGUUGUUAGUCACCCCCCUGAUUAUUCUGCUGCAGCCGGACUGCGGCAGAUGGUGGCCCGUUACGGGGAGCCCUGGGACACUCGGGGGUAAGUGACGAAAAAAAGCUGCCCGUCCAUAGAUAGGACGGGAGCAAUCUGCUCGUCCCUAGGCAGAUAGGGCGAGAGGAAAAAUGACCAUUUUGAGAAAAUGGAGAAGAUUGAUACAGUAUGUUUGUGUCUUGUUUUGUCUUGAAAUGUUGUAUUGUCUUUGUGAUGAAAAUAUGGAAGGGGUGAGAACUAAAUGACUAAGGGAAGAAGGCACCCCAGUGGAACCAAGAAUAGUUAGGGCAUGUGUUGAUAAGAGCCCAGGAACUCGAGUCAGAAAAAGAAAGUUCAGAAGAAGAAGGAUUAUCAGAAAAAAAGUUGCAGCAAAAGAUUAUUACUAAAUACUUUUCGUUACCAGAGGGUGUGUGAAGCGGAGAGGCGGCUGCCAAAUGUGCAAGCUGGUCACAGCGCAACAAGGAUUUUCCAAGAGGUGGCGGCGACUGGCCCUUCCCCGCCUCCUGGCCGGGGAGCUGGCUCUUCCACUGCCCGAGCCCAAAUCUAGACCUGACCUGGAGGCACAGUCUCGCAGGCUCUUGCUCCCUGUGCCCAGUAGCAGUUUGAGACCGGGACUCUCCCCAGGGCCAUCUGGGGCUACCCGGGACGCUACAGCCGCAGAAGACACUACUGGUGUCCCUGAUGUUUGGUCAUUUUCAAUGCCAAUAACUAAGCUACAAUGGUUCUCCCACACCUGGAAGCUAAUGAGUAAUGAGCACCAUUAAGGCUUAUUUAAAUGUAAAAAACCUUGAGAUAAUGUACUAAAUUGUUCAGAAGGUUGUUUUCUUAGUGCCUGCUGGAAUACUACAGGAUUUUCUUUAGCCAUCCGGAGUUCCUGCCUUCAUCCCAGUGCCAGUAAAGACCAAGGUGGAAGAAUUUCCAGUGUUGCUGAAAACUGGAGGAGACUUCGGAGCUAUUGCUGUUUCUGCUGCUACAACUUAAGCUAGCUGCCUGCAGAACUUACCUGGACUGUGAUUUAAGCUAACUGCCUGCAGAAUUUACCUGGACUGUGAGUUAAUCUAUUGAGACACUGCUUUACCUGGACUGAGACAACAAACUAUAAUCUACAACAAAUUGUAACUCGGUAUCUUUGCUAACAGUGUCAUUGCUGGUAUAAUUUUUCCAAGGGCUUCUUGCAUGGAGCCAUCAAUUGGCUUGGUAUUGUGACAUUUUGUAUCCUCCCCUUCUGCUUGUAGCAGAUUACUUAUAGUGUUUCUGUAAAAACCACUAUGGUCCUUAUUUAAAUUAAACAAAAGGGGGAAAUGUUGGAAUCUGUAAACAAGUCAAAAUAACACCUGGCAUUUUGCCAAGGGAAUGUUAGAGUUCGUAAACAAGUCUGGAUGGUGCCUGGCAAAAUGCCAGAGGGAGUGGUUUGAGAAGUAACAAAACUGAGCCAUUAAGUAUGGAGAUUCCUGAUUGGUUGACUGAUGUAUCUAGUUUAUGCUAAUUAGAUAAGCUGUGUGGAAUGUAUAAAUACUGCUCCUGUCCUGCAAUAAAGGGCUCCUACUCCUGCUGAAAAAAAAAAAAAAAAAAAGAAUAACUCAGGAGGAAAAUUUUAUUCUGGCUCACCAUUUCAGAGUUUCAGUCCAUGGCUGGACAAUUUCAUAGCUCUGGGCCUGAGGUGAGGCAGAACAUCAAGGCAGAAGGGUGUGGUGGAGGGAAGCAGAAAGAACUUGAAUGCAAGGAGCCAGGAAUAUUAUUACUCCCCAGGGCAGGCCCCCAGUGACCUGCUUCCUGCAGUCAUGCCCUUCCUGCCUACAGUUACCAAUGCAUUCAAAUUACUAACCCAACUGGUUAAUCCACAAUUAGGCCACAGCUCUUAAAAAUCUAAUCAUUUCACCUCUGAACAUUCCUACAUUGUCACACAUGAGCUUUCAGGGACUACCUCACAUCCAAACCAUAACAAACUCUCAUCUAGUGAGUUUUGCUAGCAUCCUUGUAGCUGUCAUGCUCAAUCAAGAACAUAGUCACUAUCCCCAUGAACAAAGAUACCUGACAUACAAAUUAGAUCUUCUUAGAGUCUAGACUUAGGACUUGAAAGAAAAUCCAAACUGCAAGGUGGAUUUUUUUUAACACAUAGUUCAGGGUCCUGUUUUUAGGAAUGAGCCACUGGUAGACACAAUACAUUUAUGAUUUUAUAACAUUUCCUUUGGGUUGUAUAUUUUCUGGAGGAUUAAACACCAAUUACAAAUUACACUGGGCAUUUUCAGAUUACUUUUUUGGGGGGAUGGGUACUAGAAACUAAAUUCAGGGGCACUCAACCACUAAGCCACAUCCCUAGUGCCCCACCCCACUUUUUGCUGGUUGGUUGGUUGGUUUCUAUUUUAUUUAUAGACAGUGUCUCACUGAGUUGCUUAGCACCUCACUAAAUUGCGAUCCUCCUGUCUCAGUCUCCUGAGCUGCUGGGAUUACAGGCGUGCACCCUGCGCCCAGCUUAGUUUUAAAAUGUAUUUGUUAAAAUUGAAAACUUUCUUGUAUUUUUCACAUUUAUGGAGUUUUGAUCCAAUGUGCAUUUGUUUUGUUUUCUUUUGAGAAGGGGUCUCACCCUGUUGCCCUGACUGGUCUUGAGCUCUUGGGCUCAAGCAGCGCUCCCUGCCCAGCCCCAGUGGCUGGGACUGAAGGCAGGUACCACGAUGCCUGGUUGUGUGUGUUCUUACAUGUAGGCCAAUCGAAGACUUUUGCACAUCACUUCUACUCAAGAGGCUUCUCUCCACUCUGCUUCUUUAUGACUCUGAAUUGAACUGGGAUGAUGAAAGACUUUCCCACACACUUUGUUUAUAGGCCUUUGUCAAACAAUGCACUCUCCCCACAUGUGGCUCGAAAGCUUUGUUGAUAAUAAAAGCUGUCCCACAUUAUUUAGUUCUCUCUUGUGUGAGUCCUUUCACUUUUUUAAAGAUUUAUAUUAUAAUGGAAGGCUUUCCCACAUUCAUACAAUCACAAGAUUCCUCUCCAGUGUGUCCUUUCUCGUGUAUGAAGUAAAUUGGGAUAAUCAGGGGCUUUCCCACACAUCUUACAUUUAAAAGGUCCACUGUGUUUUAUGUCGUGUCUCUGAAUACGUUUCAGAGAAAUGUUUUCCAUACUUUACAUUCCCAGAGUUUCUCUCCAGCAUGAGUCCUUUCAUUCAUUUGAAAGCACUGGCCAUGGCUGCAGGCUUUCCCACAUUCCUUGUGUGUACAUGGCUCCUUUCCAUACUCUGACCAGGCUGAACUCUGAUGAGCCUAUGUAGGAUUGAAUGACCAAGGAAGACUUAUCCAAACACAUGGCUUUCACAAGGUUUUAUUCUAGGAGGUGUUUUCUUUUUUAGAUUAUGACCUGGAAUCUGGCUGGAAGUUUCUCCACAUUAACUACCUUCUUCGUGUUAUCUAUCAUAUUAUCUCUGUCAGAAAUGAGACACACACAACCAAGGGUUUGUUUAUCAAUGAUUUUGCAUUUGUUCAUAGGUAUUGAACUUACAUUUAAAAAUAAACAUAUAUUUUUGUGGUGUUGGGGAUGGAACCCAGGGUCUUAAGCAUACUAGGCAAGCGCUCUCCCACUGAGCUCUAUCCCCAACCCCUUGGACUUCUUUAUAACAUUAUCAUCAAAGUAUAGACUUGAUGCCCUGUCUGGACUGUCUGAAUCUGCAUGGACUGAAUGUUCUACAAGAUCUGUACCACAGCUGUCAUCAAAACAGCAAUACACACUAACCAGUUUUUUUCUUUUUCUUUCAUGUGUGUGUUGCUGGAGAUUGAACCCAGGGCCUCACGUAUUCUAGGCAAGUGCGUGCUACCACUGAGCUAUAUCCUCAGCUCUUUUCGUUUUGAGACAGGGUCUCGCUAAGUUGCCCAGGCUGGCCUCAAACUCACCAUCCUCUUGCCUCAGGCUCCUGAGUGACUGAGGUUACAGAUUUGUGCCACCAUGCCCAAUAACAUCAAUGGGUAUUUGGUUUGGUUUUGGUACCAGGGAUUGAACCCAGGGUGCUUAAAUACAAGCCACAUCCCCAGCCUUUUCCAAAAUAUUUUUUAUUAGAGACAGAGUGUCGCUAAGUUGCUUGGUGCCUCGCUAAAUUUCUUCAAGCUGGCUUUGAAUUCCCAAUCCUCCUACCUCACCACUGAGAUUUCUGGCAUGUGCACCACCAUGCCUAGCUAUUAAUGGGAUUUCUUAAUACUGUAUCCAAAUGAGCUACUUUGCAAACUCUAAACAUCAAUGUCACAUUUAAGUACUUUUUUAUUGUUGUUGUUUUGUUUUGUUUUUGUGGUGCUUGGGAUUGAAUCCCUGGCCUCACCUCACACAUGCUAGGCAAGUGCUCUGCCACUGAGCUAUAUCCCCAG